UACGAAGGGGGCUAGCGUUGUUCGGAAUUACUGGGCGUAAAGGGCGCGUAGGCGGCCUCGUCCGUCCGGCGUGAAAUGCCUGGGCUCAACCUAGGAAUUGCGCUCGAUACAGCGAGGCUAGAGUGUGGGAGAGGUUGGUGGAAUUCCCAGUGUAGAGGUGAAAUUCGCAGAUAUUGGGAAGAACACCGGUGGCGAAGGCGGCCAACUGGACCACAACUGACGCUGAGGCGCGAAAGCGUGGGGAGCAAACAGG
rnacentral:rRNA from 1 species